rnacentral:tRNA from 1 species
CGGCGCCGGGGCCGUCGGGGACGUCGCGGCUGCCGGCCGCGGACUUGGUGAUGACCUUGGGCCGUUCCAGUACGGCGGUGCCGCC